GAUCAUGGCUCAGGAUGAACGCUAGCGGCAGGCUUAUACAUGCAAGUCGUGGGGCAGCAGGUUUGUAGCAAUACAGAUGCUGGCGACCGGCAAACGGGUGCGGAACACGUACAGAACCUUCCUUUGAGCGGGGAAUAGCCCAGAGAAAUUUGGAUUAAUACCCCAUAGUAUAAUGAAGUGGCAUCACUUUAUUAUUAAAGAUUUAUCACUCGAAGAUGGCUGUGCGGCUGAUUAGGUAGUUGGCGGGGUAAAGGCCCACCAAGCCUGCGAUCAGUAACUGGUGUGAGAGCACGACCAGUCACACGGGCACUGAGACACGGGCCCGACUCCUACGGGAGGCAGCAGUAAGGAAUAUUGGUCAAUGGAGGCAACUCUGAACCAGCCAUGCCGCGUGGAGGAUGAAGGUCCUCUGGAUUGUAAACUUCUUUUAUAUGGGACGAAAAAAGGCUUUUCUAAGUCGUCUGACGGUACCAUAUGAAUAAGCACCGGCUAACUCCGUG
rnacentral:rRNA from 1 species